GGGCUCUUAGCUUAAAUGGAAAAGCAAAACACUUCUAAUGUUUAGAGUUCAGGUUCGAAUCCUGAAGGGCCUA
rnacentral:tRNA from 1 species